GAGCAAAAGCGUGUUGUUUGAUGAUGUAAUUUUGCGUUGAAGGUUGGCAAUAGUAAUUUUUUUUUGCAGUUCUCCGUGCCUUGCCGAGUUUUGAUUCUGUAAACGGCCUCGAACAAACUGCGACAUG
rnacentral:snoRNA from 1 species